CUUAUUGAACUUCAAAAAAAUAUUAAAGAUUUGGAAACAUUUAAAUCACAAAAUAAUCAUGAAUGUCAAAAAUAUGAAUCACAAAUCAAAAAAUUGGAAGAAGAACUGGAACUGGAAAGAAGAAAAGCCUCUGAACUGAAAACAUAUAACUUCGAGUUACAGGAUAAAUUAAAUGAUAUCAAAGAAAUUUUCAAAAAGGAUAAAAUCGUUUCAGAAGAUCAAAUCAACAUGUUGAAGGUCGAUUUGGAAGAGUACAAAAAUGAGUAUGAUAAAUUAUGUGAUAACUACAA